rnacentral:lncRNA from 1 species
UUAUGGUAAAAGUUGAAGGGGAAAUAGGAAGAAGUAUAAAAAUGGCUCUGGAGAUUACCAUUCCCUGGUGCCCACAUCCUGUAUUAUGCCCUCUGAUAUGGUUUGAAUCUGUGUCCCUGCACAAAUCUCAUUCAAAUGAUAAUUCCCAAUGUUGGAUGUGGGGCCUGGUGGGAGGUGACUGUGUCAUGGGGGCAGUUUCUCAUGGUUUAACACAUUCCCCCUUGGUGCUGUAUAGUGAUAGUGAGUUCUCAUGAGAUCUGUUAUUCAAAAGUGUGUAGCUUCCCCCCACUCUCUCUCUUGCUCCUGCUCUCACCAUGUGAAAUGCCUUGCUCCCCUUUGCCUUCUGCAAAGUGACUGUAAGUUUCCUGAGGCAUCCCCAGAAGCUAAGAAGAUGCCAGAAUCAUGCUUUCUGUACAGUCUGCAGAACCAUGAGCAAAUUAAACCUCUUUUCUUUAUAAAUUACCCAGUCUCAGGUAUUUCUUUAUAGCAAUGCAAAAACAGACUAAUACAGAAAAUUGGUACCAAGGAAUAGGGCAUUACAACUGAAAUGUGGAAGCAACUUUGAGCCUGGGUAACAGUCAGAGGUUGAAAAAGUGUGGAGGGCUCAGAAAUAGGAAGAUGGGGGAAAAUUUGGGAUUUGAUAUGGUUUGGCUCUGUAUCCCCACUUAAAUCUCAUUUUGAUUUGUAAUCCCCACAUUUCAAGAGAGGACCUGUAAUCCCCAUGUGUCAAGGGAAGGAGGUGAUAGGAUCAUGGGGGUUGUUUCCCCCAUGCUGUUUUCAUGAUAGUGAGUGAGGUCUCAUGAGAUCUGAUAAUUUUAUAAGCAUAUGGGAUUUCCUUUGCUUGCACUUCUCCCUCCUGCCACCAUGUGAAAAAAAUUCUUGUUUCUCCUUCACCUUCUGCCAUG